CCUACGGGAGGCAGCAGUCGAGAAUCAUUCACAAUGGGGGAAACCCUGAUGGUGCGACGCCGCGUGGGGGAAUGAAGGUCUUCGGAUUGUAAACCCCUGUCAUGUGGGAGCAAAUUAAAAAGAUAGUACCACAAGAGGAAGAGACGGCUAACUCCGUGCCAGCAACCGCGGGAAUACAGAGGUCUCAAGCGUUGUUCGGAAUCACUGGGCGUAAAGCGUGCGUAGGCGGUUUCGUAAGUCGUGGGUGAAAGGCGCGGGCUCAACCCGCGGACGGCACAUGAUACUGCGAGACUAGAGUAAUGGAGGGGGAACCGGAAUUCUCGGUGUAGCAGUGAAAUGCGUAGAUAUCGAGAGGAACACUCGUGGCGAAGGCGGGUUCCUGGACAUUAACUGACGCUGAGGCACGAAGGCCAGGGGAGCGAAAGGGAUUAGAUACCCCAGUAGUC
rnacentral:rRNA from 1 species